rnacentral:rRNA from 1 species
GAUGAACGCCGGCGGCGUGCCUAACACAUGCAAGUCGAGCGAUUUACUUCGGUAAAGAGCGGCGGACGGGUGAGUAACGCGUGGGUAACCUGCCCUGUACACACGGAUAAUAUACCGAAAGGUAUGCUAAUACCGCAUGAGACCACAGCGCCACAUGGCGCAGGGGUCAAAGGAGAAAUCCGGACUGGGGUGGGCUCGCGUCUGAUUAGCUAGUUGGUGAGGUAAAGGCCCACCAAGGCGACGAUCAGUAGCCGACCUGAGAGGGUGAUCGGCCACAUUGGAACUGAGACACGGUCCAAACUCCUACGGGAGGCAGCAGUGGGGAAUAUUGGGCAAUGGGGGAAACCCUGACCCAGCAACGCCGCGUGAAGGAAGAAGGUUUUCGGAUCGUAAACUUCUAUCCUUGGUGAAGAUAAUGACGGUAGCCAAGAAGGAAGCCCCGGCUAACUACGUGCCAGCCGCCGCGGUAA